CGCCAAGUGGUUCCUAUGGUAUAAUAAUUUUGGGGCAUAAGUCCAACUGCCUAACUUCCCUUCUUCCUGCCUGUUUUCCUGAAGUUGCGUCUGCAGGCUUCCUCUUAAUUCUAUGGAUCAUGCAAUAGUCUUUCAAGAAAUUAUCUUCUGCUUAGCUAGUCACUUCCUGUUGCUAGAACCAUGAAGAGGCCUGGUGAAAGAUGUUCAGUAUACUACCUGCAUCAGCUGCUACUGCUAUGUGACAAGCAAAUUUUCCAGAAACACUGACAUGGAAACAGGAUCUUUCUUCUCCUACUGUUUGUUCCUCGACUACAGUUAUAAUCCUCUAUUUGUGACAUCAUAAUUAGUUGCCACUGGAGAAGACGAUCGUGUCACAAAAGGAUUAGGACCUAAGGUGAGAUGACAGGAGCGACGACCACUUUAAAGUUGCU
rnacentral:lncRNA from 10 species